ACAGCCACAUCAUGUUGAAACAUUGGUUCCCAUAUAAUCACUGAAGUUAAGCAAUAUUGAACCCAAUCAGUACCUAAAUGGGUGACCACUUAGGAAUAACAGGUGCUGUAAG